rnacentral:rRNA from 1 species
UCYGGUUGAUCCUGCCRGACCCGACUGCUAUCAGAGUGAGACUAAGCCAUGCGAGUUAACGUAUGAAUAAUACGUGGCACACGGCUCAGUAACACGUAGUCAACAUGCCCAGAGGACGUGGAUAACCUCGGGAAACUGAGGAUAAACCGCGAUAGGCCAUAAUUACUGGAAUGGGUUAUGGCUUAAACCUAUAUGGCCCCUGGAUUGGACUGCGGCCGAUCAGGCUGUUGGUGAGGUAAUGGCCCACCAAACCUGUUACCGGUACGGGCUCUGAGAGGAGGAGCCCGGAGAUGGGCACUGAGACAAGGGCCCAGGCCCUAUGGGGCGCAGCAGGCGCGAAACCUCUGCAAUAGGCGAAAGCCUGACAGGGUUACUCUGAGUGAUUCCCGCUAAGGGGAUCUUUUGGCACCUCUAAAAAUGGUGCAGAAUAAGGGGUGGGCAAGUCUGGUGUCAGCCGCCGCGGUAAUACCAGCACCCCGAGUGGUCGGGACGAUUAUUGGGCCUAAAGCAUCCGUAGCCGGUCAUGCAAGUCCUCCGUUAAAUCCACCUGCUCAACAGAUGGGCUGCGGAGGAUACUACAAGGCUAGGAGGCGGAAGAGGCAAGCGGUACUCAGUGGGUAGGGGUAAAAUCCUCUGAUCCAUUGAAGACCACCAGUGGCGAAGGCGGCUUGCCAAUACGCGCUCGACGGUGAGGGAUGAAAGCUGGGGGAGCAAACCGGAUUAGAUACCCGGGUAGUCCCAGCUGUAAACGAUGCAGACUCGGUGAUGGGCCGGCUUUAUGCCGGCUCAGUGCCGCAGGGAAGCCGAUAAGUCUGCCGCCUGGGGAGUACGGUCGCAAGACUGAAACUUAAAGGAAUUGGCGGGGGAGCACCACAAGGGGUGAAGCCUGCGGUUCAAUUGGABUCAACGCCGGR